CUGGGUGUGAUGCAUGCUAACAUCUGACUGACAGUGAAGGUGUUUGUAUUCAUACUGUCUGAUCCAG
rnacentral:snoRNA from 1 species